rnacentral:RNase_MRP_RNA from 2 species
CCCUCGCCCGACAAAUCGCCAUCGAAGCUUCACACGGAGAUAUCUCUUACGAGUUAUCUCACAAUAUAUGCUUCGGGAGAAAGUCCCCGGACAAUCUUCUUCCCCAAGAAGAAGAACGCCGAAAGGCGCCGCCAUAGAAGCACCACGCGGCUGAUCUCUACGCUCCUCCGUCCUCUUGUCUGACUCUGCCAGCCCUGCCCCGCCGCUACAUCUUUCGGUUCUCAUACCCGGAGGUCUGUCAACGGUGGUUUUGCCUGAUCGCGCUCUAUGGACGAAGAUAUGAGUCCUGCGCACAGGGCGGGAUCUCGGUUGCUUAGGCUUCUGGAGUGUGACCGUUCGAUGGCGGGGUGGACGUUAUGUGCGGUCUAGUGCUGGGGGCGCUUUGUGGGGAGGGUUUGAGAGGUGUUAUCGUCGAGAUUGGAUAGGUAUGCGAUUGCCUUUGGUCAAGCUCACGCUUGACUGGGUUACUCGAUGGGGCUCAUUCUUGGUGCGAGG